UACGAAGGGGGCUAGCGUUGUUCGGAAUUACUGGGCGUAAAGCGUGCGCAGGCGGUUUGUUAAGUCCGCUGUGAAAUCCCCGAGCUCAACUUGGGAAUUGCAGUGGAUACUGGCAAGCUGGAGUAUGGUAGAGGAAGGUGGAAUUCCCGGUGUAGCAGUGAAAUGCGUAGAGAUCGGGAGGAACACCAGUGGCGAAGGCGGCCUUCUGGACCAAUACUGACGCUCAUGCACGAAAGCGUGGGGAGCAAACAGG
rnacentral:rRNA from 1 species